GGAGGAGUACUCAAGCUGGUCGAAGAGUCGUGACUCGAAAUCUCGUAGGGCGUGAAAGCGUCGCAAGGGUUCGAAUCCCUUCUCCUCCGCCA
rnacentral:tRNA from 1 species